rnacentral:tRNA from 1 species
GGGGCAGUAGCUCAAAUGGGAGAGCGCCAGACUGAAGAACUCCAGGACUUGUAACAGUCCAUCCGAUAUCUGGAGGCACUCGGUUCGAUCCCGAGCUGCCCCA